rnacentral:rRNA from 1 species
UAAUACGUAGGGGGCGAGCGUUGUCCGGAUUCAUUGGGCGUAAAGAGCUCGUAGGCGGUUCGGUAAGUCGGGUGUGAAAUCUCCGUGCUCAACACGGAGCGGCCACCUGAUACUGCCGUGACUCGAGUCCGGUAGGGGAGUGUGGAAUUCCCGGUGUAGCGGUGAAAUGCGCAGAUAUCGGGAGGAACACCAGUAGCGAAGGCGGCACUCUGGGCCGUGACUGACGCUGAGGAGCGAAAGCGUGGGUAGCAAACAGGAUUAGAUACCCUGGUAGUCCACGCCGUAAACGUUGGGCACUAGGUGUGGGUCUCUAUCGACGGGAUCCGUGCCGUAGCUAACGCAUUAAGUGCCCCGCCUGGGGAGUACGGCCGCAAGGCUA